UACGUAGGGGGCAAGCGUUGUCCGGAUUUAUUGGGCGUAAAGAGCUCGUAGGUGGUUCGGUAAGUCGGAUGUGAAAUCUCCAGGCUCAACCUGGAGGGGUCAUUCGAUACUGCCGUGACUAGAGUUCGGUAGGGGAGUGUGGAAUUCCUGGUGUAGCGGUGAAAUGCGUAGAUAUCAGGAGGAACACCUGUGGUGUAGACAGCUUACUGGACCACUUCUGACGCUGAGACACGAAAGCGUGGGUAGCAAACAGG
rnacentral:rRNA from 1 species